GCGGGUAGCAUGCAAAGUAAUGGAGUUUUUUUCUGAACCAGAAGGAAAACUAGUUCCACGCUAUUGUUGCGGCCGAAACUUAUAGACGGGGCCAAGCUUUCGCAUGUGUCCAGCGGCCAGCGCAGAAGUGCCAUCCAACACGACCUUGAACUUUCUUGAACCAAAACAUGGCGGCCAGGAAGUGAUUUUUAGAAAUGAUCUUGAUGAUGUUUGCUGUUUUAUGAGCAAAAUGUGAAAUGUCAUCGGAUACCUUAUCAGCCCGUGGAUACAUAAGGUCUUACUUGCUGGUCGCAGUUUGACCCAACAGCCACACAGAUGUAGAGAUGCAGUCACAGUCAGGCGUCGACAGCCCAGUGCCAUCCAACCUGGACUUGGUGACCAUUGAGAAGUCUUCAGCACUCAUCCUAGUGACAGUCCUUGAUAUCUGGGGUGGAGAGGCACUUUCUGACUCUUCAGAUUGAAAGAUUGUCAAAGUCGGAUGUCUUAGUUGGGAACAGCCUGGAUCAGCUUUACAUUGGAAGCAAGCCCCAUUCCCCAGACAUUAAACCUUUGGGUCGACUGUUUAUCCCGGAAGAACAAGAGUGUGUCGACGGAGUAGUCUCUUCAUCCCCAAGUUUUCAAGUGGAUAAUGACAAGUUUGGACACUGCCCAUCUUGACUUGUUUGCCAUGUGUCUCAACCACCAGCUCCCCAUCUAUGUCAGUCCAGUACCAUGUCCGCAUCCAUAACUCUCCACAUGGACGCCCUGUCAGUGAGUUGGGCGGGUUGCUCGCUUACAGUUUUCCCCUGGGCCUCUGGUGGAC